rnacentral:rRNA from 1 species
UACCCUGGUAGUCCACCCCGUAAACGUUGGGAACUAGUUGUGGGGACCAUUCCACGGUUUCCGUGACGCAGCUAACGCAUUAAGUUCCCCGCCUGGGGAGUACGGCCGCAAGGCUAAAACUCAAAGGAAUUGACGGGGACCCGCACAAGCGGCGGAGCAUGCGGAUUAAUUCGAUGCAACGCGAAGAACCUUACCAAGGCUUGACAUAUACGAGAACGGGCCAGAAAUGGUCAACUCUUUGGACACUCGUAAACAGGUGGUGCAUGGUUGUCGUCAGCUCGUGUCGUGAGAUGUUGGGUUAAGUCCCGCAACGAGCGCAACCCUCGUUCUAUGUUGCCAGCACGUAAUGGUGGGAACUCAUGGGAUACUGCCGGGGUCAACUCGGAGGAAGGUGGGGAUGACGUCAAAUCAUCAUGCCCCUUAUGUCUUGGGCUUCACGCAUGCUACAAUGGCCGGUACAAAGGGCUGCGAUACCGUGAGGUGGAGCGAAUCCCAAAAAGCCGGUCCCAGUUCGGAUUGAGGUCUGCAACUCGACCUCAUGAAGUCGGAGUCGCUAGUAAUCGCAGAUCAGCAACGCUGCGGUGAAUACGUUCCCGGGUCUUGUACACACCGCCCGUCAAGUCAUGAAAGUCGGUAACACCUGAAGCCGGUGGCCUAACCCUUGUGGAGGGAGCCGUCGAAGGUGGGAUCGGUAAUUAGGACUAAGUCG